UUUCCGUAGGUGAACCUGCGGAAGGAUCAUUACAGAGUUCAUGCCCUCACGGGUAGAUCUCCCACCCUUGAAUAUUUAUACCUUAGUUGCUUUGGCAGGCCGUGGAAACACCAUGGGCUCCGGCUUAUGCGUGCCUGCCAGAGGAAACAAACUCUGUUUUUAGUGAUGUCUGAGUACUAUAUAAUAGUUAAAACUUCCAACAACGGAUCUCUUGGUUCUG
rnacentral:misc_RNA from 1 species